AACCCGGUAACGGACGGCGAACCCUUACGUUCCUUACGUUACCGUACGCACGCGUAUGGUGGGCACUCUAAGGGAGACUGCCGGUGACAAACCGGAGGAAGGUGGGGGAUGACGUCAAGUCAUCAUGGCCCUUACGGCCUGGGCUACACACGUGCUACAAUGGUCGGUACAAAGGGUUGCCAAGCCGCGAGGUGGAGCUAAUCCCAUAAAACCGAUCGUAGUCCGGAUCGCAGUCUGCAACUCGACUGCGUGAAGUCGGAAUCGCUAGUAAUCGUGAAUCAGAAUGUCACGGUGAAUACGUUCCCGGGCCUU
rnacentral:rRNA from 1 species